rnacentral:tRNA from 1 species
GGAUGUAGCUCAGUGGUAAAGUGAUUGCCUAGCAUGCAUGAGGCCCUGGGUUCAAUCCCCAAAAAUAUCCU